rnacentral:rRNA from 1 species
ACCGCGCACACUGGAGUCAAGCCUCGUCGCCUCGACCCCGCUGACCCGUGGUCUUCUCCGCCAUGGCGGAUGCGACGAAGCCUCUCCACCCGGUCCUGCAGGCGGUUGACGACGGCAACCUCCGCCUCCUCAAAGGUACCAGCAACAACCAGCCCUUACUACUGCUCCUGCCCCUCCUGUCCCUAGUCCGUACCCUUAGGGUUCCUGAUCGCCCAGAGACGGCGGGCGUCGUGGCGGACGACGGCAUCUGGUCGCGCGCGCUGGUUCUGGCGGCCAUGAAUGGGCGGCUGGACGUCUGCCGGUGCCUCGUCGAGGACCUCCGCGUCGAUGUCAACCAGCGCACCUUCACAGGUGAUACAGCUCUGGCCAUUUCUGCAGCUUAUGGGACAGCUGCUAUCACAAAAUAUCUUCUAGAUCGCGGCGCUGAUCCAACUUUAGUUGGUGCCCUGUGGCCACCUCUUCAUGGUGCUGCAAUGAGUGGAGAAUGUGAAAUACUAGAACUGCUGCUUUCAGCUGGAAUUGAUGUGGAUUGUUUCGAUUCUGUGUACGGGACCCCAUUGCAUGCUGCCGCUGCUGUUGGUGAAGAUGGCGCGGUGAAUAUUUUGUUGGAGCAUCAUGCAGAUCCUGAUAAGAUUCUCAACCUUCAUAGCACCCCGCUAAAUCUGUCCAUACUUUCCAAAUCGCUGGAAUGUGUGAAGCUACUCAUUAAGGCUGGUGCUGAUGUGAAUAAAAUUGACCAUAAUGGUUAUACUUACCUGAUGGUAGCAGCGGACAUUUGCUUACCUGGUAUCAUGAAGUGCUUACUAGAUGCUGGUGCUAACCCCGAUAUUCCUGAUCCAUUUGGUACAACUGCAAUUGAAAUUGCUGCCCUCCGAGGCAGAAGGGAUAUGGUUGAGAUGUUAUUUCCUUUAGCUUCUACUAUUUCAACGUUGCCGGAUUGGAGUGUUGAUGGAAUUAUUUGUCAUGUGAAAUCAUGUGGUUUGCCGAAGGAUAUACAUCUAUGUGAAAAGAAAAGAGCUGAACUGAAAUUGCAAGCUACAGAGGCUUUUAAGAGAAAGGAACAUAUGAUAGCGGUAGAGCUAUGUACUUGUGCAAUGAAUUUUGAGCCAAGUGCAGAAGAUCUUGCAAUCCUCCUAGCAAAUAGGAGUUUAUGUCUGCUGCACUCGGGAAGAGGAAAAGACGCGCUCUCUGAUGCUACUAGGUGCACAAUGUUGCGACCUCUCUGGCCCAAAGGUUACUAUCGACUAGGGGCAGCCUUAAUGUUUCUAGAGGACUAUGAAGAAGCGUCUCGGGCUUUUGCGGAUGGCUUGGAACUGGAUCCUGCAAAUGCUCUAAGGGAAGCCCAAGAGGCAGUGAAAAACCCUCCUUGCACCGGAGAGCUGGGGUGCCUUAGCCCACUUGGGAUCAGACGUUCCCGGUGAAGUUGAGGCUCUCUUCUGUUGCUAUCUCCAGGGAAAGAGGAAAAGCUGGAAAAUGCCACGCAGAUGGGCUGGAAUCGUGUGUGCACCCAACUGCUGCUGCACGUGCUUGCGUACCCCGUCCCCCCACCACUGCCGCGUACGACAACGGCUUCCUGUGCCUUCCAUGUUCCUGCCCCCCACCAUGACGAGUGUGCCAAAAAGCACAUCCAAAUAACCCUAUCCAGUGCGCUCCCAUGCUUGAGUAGGGCUGCAUUAAACUGUGGAGGAGUGGUUUCGUUCUCGAAGGUUCACGUGGUCAAGCUACCAAAAAAAACUCAUUUACACACUUUUCCAACAAAAAACAUGACAAUAUUUCUAUAUAUCGAGAAAUCUAACCACUAGUCGACUGGUGGUUAGCGACAGGCACGUACGAUCGCU